rnacentral:rRNA from 1 species
CGCAAGGGGAGUGGCAGACGGGUGAGUAACACGUGGGAACCUUCCCAAUAGUACGGAAUAGCCCAGGGAAACUUGGAGUAAUACAGUAUACGCCCGAAAGGGGAAAGAAUUUCGCUAUAGGCUGGGCCCGCGUAGGAUUAGCUAGUUGGUGAGGUAAUGGCUCACCAAGGCGACGAUCCUUAGCUGGUUUGAGAGAACGACCAGCCACACUGGGACUGAGACACGGCCCAGACUCCUACGGGAGGCAGCAGUGGGGAAUAUUGGACAAUGGACGCAAGCCUGAUCCAGCCAUGCCGCGUGAGUGAUGAAGGCCUUAGGG